AUCUCUCACUCUAUCUUCCAAAAUCUCUGUCAAUAAAAGUGCUGUCACGAAUCUCUCAGUCGAUUUUCAUCAACUCUUGAAGACCCCACUUCGAUUACAGCCUUUCUAUUGAUCUAAGGUGAGGUUUUUUUUGCAAAAGCUUCAUUUUUUUUCCAGUUAAUUGGUAAUGGGUAUGCUUGGAAUUAGAGAAUGGGGAAUUGAUGAUGAUUUAAAUUGAUCGAUGACUUGGCUGAUGAGUUCGAAUUCGGAUUCCAAAUUAGACGCCCAGACUUCGCGUAUUAUAAUCGAAUUCGAUGAGCUGGAAUUUGAAUCUAAAUCUGUAGAAAAAUCUCCAGCUCCCAUGAUGAGUGAUGAUGGUCAGCUAAUAGCUUGCAGCUUGACGCUUCGCAAGUGAGAUUUGAAAGUCCUUACUGUUGCUGGUAACUGCUGUUGCUUGAGAAUUGAGAGGUGUUUGUGAAAAGUUCUAAUAGAGGAAUAUGUAUAUAUAUAGAGG
rnacentral:lncRNA from 1 species